rnacentral:rRNA from 1 species
UACGUAGGGGGCUAGCGUUGUCCGGAUUUAUUGGGCGUAAAGAGCGUGUAGGCGGCCAGGUAGGUCCGGUGUGAAAACUCGAGGCUUAACCUCGAGAUGUCAUCGGAAACCAUCUGGCUAGAGUCCGGAAGAGGAGAGUGGAACUGCGAGUGUAGAGGUGAAAUUCGUAGAUAUUCGCAAGAACACCAGUGGCGAAGGCGGCUCACUGGCCCGGUACUGACGCUGAGGUGCGAAAGCGUGGGGAGCAAACAGG